rnacentral:rRNA from 1 species
UACGGAGGGUGCAAGCGUUAAUCGGAAUUACUGGGCGUAAAGCGUGCGCAGGCGGUUUGUUAAGCCUGCUGUGAAAUCCCCGAGCUCAACUUGGGAAUUGCAGUGGAUACUGGCAGGCUGGAGUAUGGUAGAGGAAGGUGGAAUUCCCGGUGUAGCAGUGAAAUGCGUAGAGAUCUGGAGGAACACCAGUGGCGAAGGCGGCCUUCUGGACCAAUACUGACGCUCAUGCACGAAAGCGUGGGGAGCAAACAGG